rnacentral:tRNA from 2 species
GGCUGUAGCUCAGCUGGAUAGAGUGACUGGCUACGAACCAGUAGGUCGGGGGUUCGAAUCCCUUCAGCC